GGGCACAUGUGGACAGGGGGUGCAUGUGGGCAGUUUGAAUUCAGCGCUUUAUAAGGCAUGAAUAAAUUCGAAAAAAUUCUCAUAGAUGUCUCUGAUUAUACCUAAUGUGUGAAUAAAGUUUGAACAUUUAACAGCUGAUAGUGUUUGUGUUAUGGUUGAAAGCACGUUUGAAUGGUGACAAAGUAAACUUAUUAGAGGAAUAUAAUCGGUGAUCAUCAAUAUGGUAAGGACUUAUAAGCACAAAACAUCGAGAGCUGAUAUUGAUGAAACUAUUGUCGCAAGAGCCCUUACAGAAAUUAGUAAUGGCAGAAUGUCAUUGCGUACAGCAGCAUCGGAAUUUGGCUUAAAGAAAUCAAUGUUGCACAAACGUUUCAAAAA